rnacentral:rRNA from 1 species
ACGUAGGAGGCGAGCGUUAUCCGGAAUUACUGGGCGUAAAGCGUGUGUAGGCGGUUUGUUAUAUUGGGCGUGAAAGCUCCUGGAUUUACUGGGAGAGGCAGUUCAAAACUAUCAGGUUUGAGAGUGGUAGAGGGAGGUGGAAUUCCGCGUUAAGAGAUGAAAUGCGUAGAUAUGCAGCGAAACACCAGUGGCGAAAGCGGCCUCCUGGCCCAUUUCUGACGCUCAGACUCUAAAGUUAAGGUAUCAAACGG